UUUGGGUGGGGUGGGGAGGUCUGUGAAGUCACUUCACUUAUUUGAAAGUGCUUCCCAGGAGCCCAUUUCUGUGGGUAGUGUGUUGCUCAAACUUUUUGCACAUACCUGUUUAUUUUCAUUCCAGUCUUGUUACCUGCCUCUGGCAGGGUGUAUUCAGCAUAGUAUUUAUUUGUCUUAAGGACUGUUUUCAAGAAGAAUGCCUUCUUGUUUUAAAGCUCUGGUUUGGAGAGCAAGCCAUGGCAAUGCUAUCCUGUAAAGGUUUUGCAGUUUAGAUUGUAUCACUGCUCUGCCCUCUGCUUCCCACACUCUGGAGUCCAUGUUUUCUCAGGAAAACUUUUCUAUUCACUUGAAAAUUUGAGCUGCUUCUCCACAGCUUCCUGAGGUCGGUUUUGUUGUGCGCACAACCAAACCAUAGAUAAUUCCAACUGUGGCCAAACCUGGCCUCUGGGGAAGGGUGGUAUUAGCCUUGUGGUUGGUCUCUGCACCCUGCUGAUGACUACCCUUAAUUUUGAUAACUUUGACUGCCACGUCUUUGGGGAUCUGUGACCACCACCCAAGAUCUGGAAUAUAAUGGAUAGUUUGGCAGCAGUGUGUUUACUUGAGCAUUUUAUGAUACAGUUAGAAUAAAUAUUAGGAAGUGAUAGUGUACAAAGUUCUCUGCAGUUCUCUGUGAACUGAGUAAUACAGACAGACCUUGGGAAUCAAGAUGGGAAAGACGGCUGGCUGGUCAAAAACACAAUUGGAUUCUUGUUCCCUAAAAACUCUUGCCUUAUGUAAAUACAUUAUCUUCCUUUAAAAAAAAAAUCCACUUCUCCAACCUUCCAAGUCAAUCUUUAAGAAUGUG
rnacentral:lncRNA from 1 species